CACAUCGCAUCACUCACACCUCUCCAUGCUACACACACGCACACACUAUUCAGGAGUUUAAAAACACGAUUAGCUCCAAUAGAGGGACUCGAAGGUCCACUGUUCUUGCCGUCAUUGAUCCAACCUGUGAUGUGUAAGAAACACAAAAAUAAUAGAUUUUAGCCCACAGUGGGGCGGGUCAGUGUAUGGAUUUUAUGCAUAUCAUGACAUGAGACCAGAUAUCUUUCUGUGUCACUAUGUUAAUAUUUGAGCCAUCCGGACAAUAUUAUCUCGAUAUCGAGCGUUUUAUCCAGUGGUAUGGCUAUUUGAUCUUGUCCAUAUGCGCCUAGGCCUCAGGCAGACUAACACCAUCGUUCUAAUACCCGUUCAUCAGGGCUGUUUGGAACGUGGCCCUCUGCUCAGUCCUGCUCAGGGCUCCUAUUGGCGCAGAGCUCUCGUUGUGUAAAGGUUCUAUCAGCGAUGUUGGCUGACGUCACUUCUGUCGGUAUCUGAAGCAAGAUCCCUAACAAACGGAGCCAGCUCGCCCCUCUCUUCCGCGUUUCGUACAUCCAGUAAAAACGAUCAUAAACGCCGCGCAAAACCCCACAACACCCACCCCUUGUCGGUGAUUGGAUGGAAUACUAUUUUGGUUUUGAGUGUUUGCUAGUACCGUUUGUUUUUGUGUGCGAUCUCGGAGCAAUAGGCUGCCUACAGAGACGUGUUUUUUGACGGCCUGCUUAUGGGGCGGGCAGCUAGCGGAUCGUGAGGAAAGAUCAGAUGAAUGUGAUCAUUUAUGUUUUCGGCCUAGCAUCAUUCACUGAUGCAACCUUUAAGCUGAAGUCACUGAGCAGUCGAAGCAGAACACAUCCUCUCUGGCCCCGAUGGUCUCUCGGUGUGCUUCCUGUUUUCAGAAAGUCAGCUGUGUUGAUAAGCAGUUGAAUUAUGAGGCGUGUCCUGUUGUUUCCGCGGGGACCAGGGGAAAGCAGCUGCAGGAUGAUUAGAUUUGUUUUCCGAUGAGUGCAAGGUGCCGCGAUGGGAGAGGUUAGUGAUGACUGAGAUGUGGCAUCUACCUAGGUGUAAUUUCAGGUAUUGGGCAGUGAUAAAGUAUGGUUUCAGACAGUAGGAUACAAACAGAAGCAAACAGGGUCGUGAUAGAGCUGCGAAAACAUCAGAAAUGAAGGACUUUCAGGUCUUUUGUUUUAGAUUUGUCUGGGGCACUUUGUAAGGAUAUAAAGGUUUUUGUUGUGUUGAUUUGAACAAUGACACCUGACUUUGCUUCCUAAGAAGCAGGUGCUGUUGAAGAUGGUACCAACACCCCCCUACUGGUGUGCUUAAGGCAAAGUUAUCCAUCUGGAUAUACUUGGCUUGCCGCUUAUUUAUUUCAUUUGUCGAUAUUGCAGCAAACUUGCUUCUAUUGUUCAGGUUUCUGCUGUGUGCUUCCAUUAAGAUAUGGGUUAGGGUUAGGAGCUCAACCUCUCGUUGGGCUCUGUGCGUCCGAACCUGAUACUGCUGCACACUGCCUCGUUCCAUCCCUCCCAGCUGUUCAUCCACAGCGGUGGAGGGAUUUCCCCUGCGAGGGAGGGCGAGGUCAGGGAGAGCGGGGACAUGUCUGGGGAUUGACCCACGCAUGCUGUCCAGUCCCUGAUUCACUGAUCGGUGCUCGGGAAGAGAGGGGGGUUGUUGAUACGUGACGUGUGAGAGUCCAAGGCUCCAGUCAAUGGGUCUUUGCUCUUCGCUCUCACCAUCGAUGCAUCUCUAUCUAAUUAUUUUGUCUCUAAUUUAAUCGAAGACUCUAAUGCUGAUUAAAACACGUGGCUUUAAAUGUUGUAGAGUGGGCAUCGUGCUGCACUCUGCAGGAGUGCAGCAGGAAGGUGUCGGAGGGAAGGUGUAGGGAGGUGAACUUGACCCCUGGAAGCAGGAAUCCGCCGUCCGUUCUCAGUGUCGUCAGCCUCUGGUCCCCAGCGAGAAUUCCCUGCAUGAUCCUCUCUCUGGGAGCGAGUGGGGAGGGUGUUGUGGUAAUUGUCCUGCUCAUCCAGCCCCAAUCAGGAUUAACUUGCUAAUCCUGCGCGGGGCUGCGGCUGGAGGCUUGCUGGGGGUUACAUCACGUCCGACCAGAGCGGCAAACGGUAACGCUCAAACAGCCACACAACCUGGCCUGCGGAGUGAGGCACUGGCGCAUGUGUGACCAGCGCUCCUCAAUGUUGAGCCAAAGUGUGUUUUAUUAACACACUGUAACUGUUGGCUCUUUAUUGGAUUCACAUUUUGACCUGAAACACGAUUAAUCAUGAAGACGACCACAUCUACAGCCUUCCUUUAUCAGGGUCCUCCCAGUCCGGGUAAUGGGCUGGGAUCUAAUGGUUUUCAUGGUCCUCCCAGUCCGGGUAAUGGGCUGGGAUCUAAUGGUUUCCAUGUGGUGACUCUGAGCCUCCCCAGUGAUGGAGACCUUUCUGGAUGGAGCUAAAUGCACCAGUGUUGUGUCAGUACCAGGGUGGUCCACUGAUUGGACACAGACAGACAGACCGAUACACGCUGGUCUUCCUGGCUCCCGAGAGGGCCGUGAGUCUCUGGUGGUGAGCGGGUUACGGGGCCAGUGGGAUCCUCAAGCUUUGGCUGAAUUACCGCUCGUAAUCAACUUGAGAGCCAAUAAACUCCAGACGCUGUUUUUACAGCUCCUGCUCCACGUGUCGUGCAUCUGUCGUGGGGACACGAUUGAAAAGCUCAACCAAGAUACUCAAGGAGCACACCUACAUGUACAUUUAAUAGCUGCUUCUAGUAAUACUAUUCUACUUCUACUACUGUUACUACUACUACUACUACUAUAUAACUACAACUGUCACUACUAUUUCUACUACUCGUCCCUGAUCUACUAUCUUCACUAACUUAAUCUUCAAGACCUUUGUUGUUUACCCGUCACACAGAGGGGAUCUCUGUGUACCUGAAUUGCCCCUCUAAACUCUAGUGUACUACAGAGGGAUGUCUACGUAGGGGAUGAGGGAACAACG